rnacentral:rRNA from 1 species
CAGUCGCCGCGGGAAUACGUAGGUGGCAAGCGUUGUCCGGAAUUAUUGGGCGUAAGGCGCGCGCAGGCGGAUCAGUUAGUCUGUCUUAAAAGUUCGGGGCUUAACCCCGUGAUGGGAUGGAAACUGCUGAUCUAGAGUAUCGGAGAGGAAAGUGGAAUUCCUAGUGUAGCGGCGAAAUGCGUAGAUAUUAGGAAGAACACCAGUGGCGAAGGCGACUUUCUGGACGAAAACUGACGCUGAGGCGCGAAAGCCAGGGGAGCGAACGGGAUUAGAUACCCCAGUAGUCCCUGUCUCUUAUACC